GACGAACGCUGGCGGCGUGCUUAACACAUGCAAGUCGAACGGUGAAGCGAGUGCUUGCACUCGUGGAUCAGUGGCGAACGGGUGAGUAACACGUGAGUAACCUGCCCAUCACUCUGGGAUAAGCACUGGAAACGGUGUCUAAUACUGGAUACGACCAACCCUUGCAUGGGGUGUUGGUGGAAAGAUUUAUCGGUGAUGGAUGGACUCGCGGCCUAUCAGCUUGUUGGCGGGGUAAUGGCCCACCAAGGCGACGACGGGUAGCCGGCCUGAGAGGGUGACCGGCCACACUGGGACUGAGACACGGCCCAGACUCCUACGGGAGGCAGCAGUGGGGAAUAUUGCACAAUGGGUGAAAGCCUGAUGCAGCGACGCCGCGUGAGGGAUGACGGCCUUCGGGUUGUAAACCUCUUUCAGCAGGGAAGAAGCGAAAGUGACGGUACCUGCAGAAGAAGCACCGGCUAACUACGUG
rnacentral:rRNA from 1 species